GACGAAUGCUGGCUGCGUGCUUAACACAUGCAAGUCGAACGGUGAAGGAGGGCUUGCCCUCCGGAUCAGUGGCGAACGGGUGAGUAACACGUGGGCAACCUGCCCCUCACUCUGGGAUAACGCCGGGAAACCGGCGCUAAUACCGGAUACGACCAGGCGCGACAUCCCGCCUGGUGGAAAGAAUUUCGGUGAGGGAUCGGGCCCGCGGCCUAUCAGCUAGUUGGUGGGGUAACGGCCCACCAAGGCGACGACGGGUAGCCGGCCUGGGAGGGCGACCGGCCACACUGGGACUGAGACACGGCCCAGACUCCUACGGGAGGCAGCAGUGGGGAAUAUGGCGCCAUGGGCGAAAGCCUGACGCAGCGACGCAGCGUGAGGGACGAAGGCCUUCGGGUUGUAAACCUCUUUCAGCGGGGACGAAGCGAAAGUGGCGGUACCCGCAGAAGAAGCACCGGCUAACUACGUGCCAGCCGCCGCCGUAACAC
rnacentral:rRNA from 1 species